AGAGUUUGAUCAUGGCUCAGGACGAACGCUGGCGGCGUGCUUAACACAUGCAAGUCGAACGGAGAUAAUGGAGUGUUUACAUGAAAUUAUCUUAGUGGCGGACGGGUGAGUAACACGUGGGUAACCUGCCCUAUGGAGGGGGAUAACACAAAGAAAUUUGUGCUAAUACCGCAUAAUGUAACUUUAUCGCAUGAUAAAGU
rnacentral:rRNA from 1 species